UACGAAGGGGGCUAGCGUUGUUCGGAAUUACUGGGCGUAAAGGGCGCGUAGGCGGCGUGUCAAGUCAGGCGUGAAAGCCCCGGGCUCAACCUGGGAAUGGCGAUGGAUACUGGCGGGCUAGAGUGCGGUAGAGGAGAGUGGAAUUCCCGGUGUGGCAGUGAAAUGCGUAGAGAUCGGGAGGAACAUCAGUUGCGAAGGCGGCUCUCUGGACCAGCACUGACACUGAGGCACGAAAGCGUGGGGAGCAAACAGG
rnacentral:rRNA from 1 species